rnacentral:rRNA from 1 species
CGGAACACGUACGCAACCUUCCUUUAACUGGAGAAUAGCCCCUCGAAAGAGGGAUUAAUACUCCGUAACAUAUAGAUGUGGCAUCACAAUUAUAUUAUAGCUCCGGCGGUUAAAGAUGAGCGUGCGCCUGAUUAGAUAGUUGGUAGGGUAACGGCCUACCAAGUCUGCGAUCAGUAACUGGUGUGAGAGCACGACCAGUCACACGGGCACUGAGACACGGGCCCG